AGGGAUAUAGUUCAGUAGCAGAGUGUGUGCUUAGCAUGCAUGAGGUCCUAGGUUCCAUCCUUAGUACCUCCG
rnacentral:tRNA from 1 species